rnacentral:lncRNA from 1 species
UUUUAUUAAUAAAACGUAAUUAUUUUACAGAUUUUCUCGAAAAAAAACGGGUAGAGUUUCCUCUGUUUUUGGACGCCCCCGACAACUAAAGUUAAAUUUCUAACUAAGAAUUUACUAAAUUGUUCGGUUCGAGAGCUCGUAUAUCACGUAAUCCAUUAAAACUAUCGUAAUCGUAGUUAUAAAUCUCGAUAUUAAUAUUUUACCGAAUCUUGUGUCGAAAAGCCGAAUGUGUUGACUGAGUUGACCAGGUCAACUGAGUUGACUGACUGAGUUGACUCGGUUGACCGAGUUGGACCGAGUUGAGCCGAAAUACACCGAGUCAAACCGAGUUGGACUGAGUCGAGCCGAACCCGUCACGAAACUGCUGACUUGACCCUCCUCGACCGUUGACCAGCUGACCCGAGUCCAUCGUUGACCGAACCGAAACCAGUUGAAUCUGACCCGGACCUGAGACCCGAACCGCCUGACCUGAGAAACCCGUAACUAAGAUUCGAGAUGACCGAACCAACAUAACCAACCUACUGUCACAGCCAUUGUAAUCCUUCAGUCGACAAGAACAUCACCAACAUUCCGAAAAAUAAAAAUGUAGCAAUCAGGGGGGGUUUCUUACCGGAAGACAUGUCGGACCAAAGGCCCGAACCACCGCCACACCGCCACUACCGUCCGUCACCGUCGCCGCCGUGAGCGCCGCUGCCUCGCCGCCACAUCUCUCUCUCUCUCAUCGCUCCUCUCUCUCCGUCUCGUCUCUCUCUCUUUCUAUUGUAACCGCCGAACACCACCACCAGACGGUGGUGGUGGUCCGUUUCAUCUAACGAGGAAGGGGGGCUGCUUGCAGGUUGACCGAGCCACCGAACCACCGGCAGCCGGUCGGUUAAUCGGCUCCAGCGGUCGGAUCCGUGAGGUGAGACGAGAGAUAAGUGAAGGGGGGGUGUGUCUCGCCAGAAAAAUCGCCGGCAUCAACACCGGUUCCGGCUCCGAUCUUCGUGCCAGUAGAUCGAGAGGGUGAGAGCAGGUUGUGUGUGUGUGUGUUCUUAGGGUUUGAUUUGGGUUAUGUUUGUGAGAGUUGAUUUUUCUGUGGUUGUAUAUGAAACCGAGAGAGAAGAGAGUGAAAUUUGAGUGUGUAUUGUUGGAGAAAUGAAUGAAUUUAGGUGUCUGCUCUUUUUGUUUUGUUUGUGCAGGUAUAAUCGAGAGAGGAGGUGAGGUUUUAUAAUCUCUUUAUGUGGGUAUCAUCCAAUGUUAUUUUCUUUGGUCUUGUGUGUGUAUGCUUAUAACUUGCAGACAAGAGGAUGGGUUUAG